rnacentral:lncRNA from 1 species
CCACGUAUCAUGACUUUAACAUGUCAGGAAUCACAAGAUUCCUAGAUCACCUUUUGGAGGGCAGAUGGGACUGUCUUCUGCCUUACUCCUCCAACACCUAGAAACUGCAGGUUACAGAGAGAGAGGAAGGACCUUGCUACAGUAAAUAUUUUCUUCAUAUUUCUUGCUGUGUGCUAAGUUGGACAUGAUUCAGUAUGUACAGCCACCAUCAAAUUUCUGAAGUAAACCGUUAAAUACUGC